CCUGCUUGGGGAGGGUAGAGGUGACACCAAGGAGCUUUUAAAUAGGACACAGCUCUCUCUCUCCCAUCCCUCGCCGAUGGCAAUCCCGCUUGGCCCGGAGCGCUGCCGAGCCCUCGGAAACAGAGGCACAGAUAAGCGCAGGACGGAGAUAAGGCGAGCCAGCCAGCGCCGGUGACGCCAUAGCGGAGCAGCCUCCCCUGCCCUGCGCGCCGGUGCCGCUCCCCUUUGUGUGACAAGGUGACAGCGGAGGCCACCCCCGAGCCACCACCGCCCCCCCAGCCCGGCGAAGGGCACCGCAAAUGCCAGCCGAGGGUAACAGAUGGCACGGAACGGAGCGGGGGAAAUGGGCGUUCUCGGAAGUUGCCAGGGAAUGAGGAGCACAGAGGAGCCCUUGUGCUGCAGAGCCCGCCCGGCAAAAGCCAACGGGGUCUUUGUUCCAGACAGCCUGGAGGGGAUUCAUCCCAAAACUCGGGAUAAAACCAGAGCCGACACACCAGGCUCGGGAGCCUUGAAAACAUUUCUUUGUUCGGCUUUGCCGAGAUCCGAUCUGGUUACAAAAGUCCUUACGUGCCGCUUGUAAAUUUUUCCCCGAGACCGGGGGUCCUCGGCUAAUAUUUACUCACCAAACUCGUCUGCGGCGAGCAGGGCGAGUUAAAGCAGAUGAAUAAGUGCAUUAGCUAUGUAAAUACACUUCUCCUUUCUGGAGAACUGCAAGUUAGGAAAUGUGUCCUGUGGCCGCCUCAGAGCUUUUUUUGACAGCCUUUAAUAGAUGCAGCUUGUAGGGGGUGGGGGGAAAUGCUUUUUGACAGCCUUUAAUGUCCGAAGGUCGCGGGGAAAUGCUUUUAAAACAUUAAAAAAAAAAAAA